rnacentral:rRNA from 1 species
UUUUUGAAAUUAAUUUAAAGUCUAACCUGCCCACUGAAUUUUUUAAAUGGCCGCAGUAUUCUAACUGUGCAAAGGUAGCAUAAUCAUUAGUCUUUUAAUUGAAGGCUGGAAUGAAUGGUUGGAUGAAAUAUUAACUGUUUCAUAUAAAUUUAUAAUAGAAUUUUAUUUUUUAGUUAAAAAGCUAAAAUUUUAUUAAAAGACGAGAAGACCCUAUAAAUCUUUAUAUUUUAAUUAUUUUAAUUAUUUAGAUAAAUUAAAUUAUAAUAAUUUAAAAUAUUUUAUUGGGGUGAUAUUAAAAUUUAAAAAACUUUUAAUUUUUAAAUUACAUAAAUUAAUGAAUUUUUGAUCCAUAAAUUAUGAUUAAAAAAUUAAGUUACUUUAGGGAUAACAGCGUAAUUUUUUUAGAGAGUUCAUAUUGAUAAAAA